rnacentral:lncRNA from 1 species
GCAUUUUUCUGGCAACAGUAUCCUUAGGUCUUGGUCCUCCUGUUUCCCCAGCCUCCUUUCCCCUCUGACGUCCUUUCCUACUGGCCCCGGUCUCCCAAGCCAGAGCCAUCAUUUCCACUCUGACGGGUGCUGCUGCUCACUGCCCACCCGUCCUGCUUGGUGGGCUUUUUUGCCCCUUUUUGCCCCAUCCCUUCCAGAAAGGCUGCUCUGGAUCUAGCCUCUGCUCCCCUCUGGUGCUUGCAGUCAGCCCCCAGUCUGUCUGCCAGACCCGAGUUGAUUCCGAUGUGCAAGUCUCCUUUAACCGCAUCUGUCAUCUUAAAGCCACCUCGUGAGUAUCUAAAUCAUGUUGCUGCUCCGUUGCUCCGUAUAACCCACCUGUUUCUUAACCUACUUGAGAAUUGUCGGUUCCUUCCCUCUUUCCAAUGCAGACUCUUUGAGCACACACUCCAGGAUAGGGGAGAUGAUGCCCCGUGUUGUUCCUUGAAAAGUAAAGGAAGUUAGGAAGUGAAUGAAGUGAGUGGGAGACUAUUAACGUUAAGAGAAAAGAGCUUUCUUCGGGCUACUCGGGAAAGGAAUGUUUUGCUUUUUUGAUCUUUUUGUUGCUCAUUUGCUAUCCUUUUUUACCCCUCUUUUCAUUUUCGACCUUCUCCGUGCUACUCAGCAUUCUCCUGAAUUGCCAUUCCUCAGGACACUUGAUGUUGUCUCUGAUUAUACCCAUAAAGAUCAGCUUAGAAUUUCAAAACCAGGUGAAUCUAGCGCGCACACACACACUUCAUCCCCGAACACCACAUGCAAAUAAAUACAGAUGGUAUUUUGAUUGUAUGUGGGUUACAGAUUCCUUUUGUAUCAAUUAUUGGCUCCGUUAUAUUGAUGUUUAUGUUAAUUGAUAACAUUUAUUUGUGAUGGGUGCAAAUUUGACUUUUCCCCCCUCUCUUUUGAUCUGGGAAAUUCCCUCUUUUGACAUUUCUAGGAUAGGAGUUAUCAGAAUAAGUUGUAUGGAAAAACACAUUGGGUAUGUAUGAAGAGAAGUUGAUAUUUUGGGGUAAACUUAAAUUCCUUUUUUUCCCAUAGAAACUAUGGGGGCUGAGAAAAGAAGUCACAAAGCUGAGCAUACGCAUGCUUCAAUGGCACUUAGCUGUUAUUACCUGUAGUAAGUAAGAGCUAGAAACUGAAGAGCAAGGGGUGGCUUAUGGUCUCUACAGUAGAGUGAAAGCAGAAUUGAAAUGCACUAGUUUGUGUAAUCAGGAGUUAGAGUAUUUGCUAUAAUACACCACAGUGACAUAAAGAAUUACCAGAACAGCAAAUAAGAUUAUAUAGGUCAGAUAAACACAUGUCAAGUUUGAACAUAAGACAUUGUGUUCUUAAUAUAUAUAUAAAAAUAUUUAAAGUCACAAUAACAGUCUCAUAAUGAAGUAUGUCGCUUAUUGGGGGGAAAUAGUAACAACUUAAGUGUAAAUACAAACGCAGUUCUUCUAGUUACUUUCACACAUUACUGUUAUUGUAAAUCUUACAUAUUUCACCUAUAAAGCUUGACUAUUCUUAUAUUUGAUGUUAUAUUAAGUUGCUGUGAAAAGUUUUUAAAAAUGUAAACUAAGGUUAGAAAAGCUGCUCAUAAAGCUUCCUCUCCUUCCUCCUCUUCCUCCUCCUCCUCCCCCUCGGCUGUCUGUCUGUCUGUCUUUCUUUCGUUCGUUCUUUCUUUUGUUCUUUCUCUCUUUCCUUUUUUUUUUUAAGACAGGGUCUUUAUGUAGCUCUGACUGACCAGCAAUGUAGAUCAGGCUAGCCUUGAACUUGAAGACAGUCACCUGACUCUUCAUCUUGUCACUCAUGGUCAAAGCUCUUUAUUUCAGCCACUUAAGCCCCAAUUUGGCAAAAUGGAAUAAAUCCCUAUUCUUCUAAAAAAUUGGAAGCAUUUUAUAUAAGCAUCCAUUGUUUUUAGUUAUACCUUGAAGUUAAAAAGAAAAUAAUACUUUUCGUUUAGUUUACCAAUAACUUGUCUUUAACUCCAAGUAAAAAGUAGAUACUGGUGGAAAAGCUUGCCACUUUGAACAAUCUUGUCUAGAUACUCUUGGCAGUCAUACUUGGCUGAAUUGUAAGCAGUAUGUUCUAAGGAGAAUGUCUGAUAGAAGGGGAUGAGUGAUUUUUUUUUAAUGCAUCUUUUCUUUUGUAAAGCUAUUUGGCUCACUAAAUAUCGUAAAUAAUUUCUCUUCUUCCUCUGGGGUCAUCAAAUUCUUGCUUCUAGCAUAGAGAAGAUGUAAAAAUGUUCUUUAACACAUUGACAGGAGGAAGUAAGCUGAAGUUUAUAAAUAUUUUUGUGUAGUCUUCAUUUGUAACAUUUAACAUGGAGGCGUCAUACUUAAUGAUUUUCUUUGAUACUUUGUAGUUCUUUCUGCAAAUUGAAUAGCCAAAGUCUUCAAAUGAAUAGAUUGUUUGUAUAAGGUUUUUAAACAUGAGUUAUUUAAAGUUGGUUUACCAUAUAAUUUUUUUGAAACUUGCAUCUACAAACCUUUAAUUUGAUUAGGAUGAGAGAUAUAAUCAAACACC